rnacentral:misc_RNA from 1 species
GAUGUAGAACAAGAAGAAACUAAAAUCAAGAGAAACAAAUUCUUAAGACACGAAAGAGAAAUUGAUUCUUGAUUUUUUACUAAUUCUCAAUGAUAGUCAUAAUAACAAUCUUUAGUAAAAACCCUAGAUAACACAUGUAUUUAUAGUGCAAUAACUAGUCUUAUUAUGAUUCCUUAAAUAAGAAAACCCUAAUCAAAUACUUAUUAGGAAUCCAACAUCAACUAAAAAUUCCUAAAUAAUAAAAAUUAAACCAAAGAGAACUCUAUAAAUAUUCCUAAAU